rnacentral:misc_RNA from 1 species
GGAAGUAAAAAUCGUAACAAGGUUUCCGUAGGUGAACCUGCGGAAGGAUCAUUCAUAAUAAAGUGUUUUAUGGCACUUUUUAAAAAUCCAUAUCCACCUUGUGUGCAAUGUUAGAUCUCGUCAAUCUUGGCGAGAUUUUUAUACAUCAACUCAUUCUUUAACUAAUUUGUCUGAAAAAUAUUAUGAAUACUUAAUUCAAAAUACAACUUUCAACAACGGAUCUCUUGGCUCUC